AAGGCUUUAAGUUAAGUAAACUAGUAGCCUUCAAAGUUACCAAUAAAGAAGGUAUCUUUAAGCCUUA
rnacentral:tRNA from 1 species